rnacentral:rRNA from 1 species
UCCACGCCGUAAACGAUGAAUACUAGGUGUCGGCUUUCGCGAGUCGGUGCCGCAGCUAACGCAUUAAGUAUUCCACCUGGGGAGUACGAUCGCAAGAUUGAAACUCAAAGGAAUUGACGGGGGCCCGCACAAGCGGUGGAGCAUGUGGUUUAAUUCGAAGCAACGCGAAGAACCUUACCAGGUCUUGACAUCCUUCUGACCGGAACUUAAUCGUUCCCUUCCUUCGGGACAGAAGUGACAGGUGGUGCAUGGUUGUCGUCAGCUCGUGUCGUGAGAUGUUGGGUUAAGUCCCGCAACGAGCGCAACCCUUAUCUUUAGUAACCAGCACGUAAUGGUGGGGACUCUAGAGAGACUGCCAGGGAUAACCUGGAGGAAGGUGGGGAUGACGUCAAAUCAUCAUGCCCCUUAUGAUCUGGGCUACA